rnacentral:rRNA from 1 species
AUUGAACGCUGGCGGCAGGCCUAACACAUGCAAGUCGAGCGAGCGGCGGACGGGUGAGUAAUGCCUGGGAAUUGCCCAGUCGAGGGGGAUAUCCGUUGGAAACUACUGCUAAUACCGCAUACUUUUGGAUUUCCCAUGGGGGAUUCGCUCUUUGGUGGGGUAAUGGCUCACCAAGGCGACGAUCCCUAGCUGGUCUGAGAGGAUGACCAGCCACACUGGAACUGAGACACGGUCCAGACUCCUACGGGAGGCAGCAGUGGGGAAUAUUGCACAAUGGGGGAAACCCUGAUGCAGCCAUGCCGCGUGUGUGAAGAAGGCCUUCGGGUUGUAAAGUACUUUCAGCGAGGAGGCGUUACUCGCAGAAGAAGCACCGGCUAACUCCGUGCCAGCAGCCGCGGUAAUAC